ACCUAAUUCAAAGAAAGGAAAGAGAAGAAAAUAAUUCUAGAUUUACCCUAUUUCUUCCACUUUUUCUAGCUCCAAAUUCACCAAUUCCAUUAAACAAUUCAAACGAAGGAAGAAAACGGCAAAUCAAAGAUUUGAUUGCACAAUAAACAGGGGAAAAAGAUAGCAAAGAUUUGCCAGAAAGAUAGCAAAUAAUUCAGCUAUUCCCUUCACCAAAACUUGGCUGAAGCUCUUAAUAACUCCUCCAAAUCAAACACCCUAGAUUGUGAUUAGGGAACUUUAUUUUCAAUUUCUUUCUAUAAUUUGAUCUGCUUCUUCAGUUUCAAGUUGUCAUGUUUGUAUUUCAGAUCUUUGAAAUCAAAUUUGUUUUUGAGGUUUUGCCAUUUUCGUGGUGUAAGUGGUAGUACUAGUGAAUGAAGGCGGUGAUGAUGAGAAAAGGUGAUGGCGGAGGUGUUGGCAAAUUUAUAUCAACUGGG
rnacentral:lncRNA from 1 species